AAAUCCUCAACUAAUUUCAACCUCAUCAAAACCCAACCUCCUCUUAAAAAGGUUGGGGGUGGGAGGAGUAAAUGCCAAGCCUCGGGGGUGAGAGAGAAGGGGCUGCGCCCUGGGCGCCGGGACUCCGAACCUUUCCCCACUCCCUGGAACUUCUCCAGAUCUUCUGGAUCUGAAGUUGCAGAGGUGGCUGCUCCAUUCCUCCCUCCGCUCGAGGCCUGGUCUCAUCAGGCAGGGGCCAAACGCGCCCCCCGACCCCCCGACCCCGCUCGGGGCCCUCCGCACAACACAGUGCGGGGGUGGGGAGGCAGGGUAGGGACACGCUUUCCCCUCCCCAUUCAGUCGUAAUCCAGGGCCGCCGCGGCCUCGGCGGUACAUUCGCCACGCCGGCCGCGUGUCUGGAAUCCCCGGGACACCUCGGAAUUACCUGCCCCGCACCGCCGGCCGCUCGCCUCCUGCCAGGAGUUAAACAAAUGGCGCGAUCCCCACGGCGUGCUGGCAGAGGGGACCGCAGCGAGCGCAGGGCCCCUCACACUCCAUUCAAAGCUCUCCUUAAAAGCCUGCCAAGCACCGCAAGGGUCGCCACCAGCGCAGCGACAAGAGGCCGCACGGGGACCACGACUCCCGCGUGUGCGCACACGCAGAUGAGCCCCACGUGCACACUGUGGGGCGCGCUGCGGGGCCCGGCGCUGCUCACCGCGGGGUGUGCGUUCUAACUCGGAUACUGCAAAUUAAUAAAAGUAAACUGGGAAGCUAAACGCCA
rnacentral:lncRNA from 12 species